AUGACAUUCUUACCAUCUCCAUGAGGAUAUAAACACAUCACUGCCCUUCUUCCAAAUAGACCUCACUAGAAACUACUCCAUUUUUUUUGUCCUUUUCAUUUCUUCUUCAGGCACACACACAGAUCUGAGAGAAAAAAAUUUCUUCACUUCUUGACAUAGAUCUCACACUCACAGGGAAAGCGGGGAGGGGGGGGGGGGUUAUUCACUGAAAUUCCAGGAGAACAAGGAUCACUCAGAUAAAACCUCUCCAGUUUUGUUUGAUAAAACUCCAUACACACAAUCCUUCUUCUCUUCCACACGAAAAUCUCGCACACACUCACGCACUCUCACGAAACACAUAGGUCGUCACUUUUUCCAUAAGCACACACACAGGUAUCCCACUAACACUCACAUACUACACAGAUAUAAAGAAAAAUGUUAGGGAAAUCAGUCGAUAGGUGAGGUUCGAGCUAUUUUGGAGUUCACCGUUCGAUUGACCCUGCCCCAAAAACUCAUCAGACUCACUUGAUUCGACUCAAUUUUGUGUAGUUUUGUGCGGGUUGUGGAGGUUAGUUGUGAAUCGUGUUGUAGGACGCUGCUGUUUUGUCUUGGUUUAGGGGUUUAGGUUCGGUGCGUCUCAAUUGGGUCACCAUAAUCAGUUUCAGGCAUCGACUGCUGGUACCGAGUUGGACCACGUUGCUGUUGAGGUUUUCUAUCGAGGAUUCUAAAUUCGGGGCUUCUUUAAUAUUAGUAUCAAUCGAAAUUAAUUAUCAGAAGUUAGUUUAUGGUGGUUGGUUUGUGACAGUUUGGCUGGUCCUCCAUAUUGUUCCAAGUCACAGAGAAAGUUAUGGCUAACAAGGAUACCGAGUUAGUUUCCACUAAUCAAAUAGGGAGUUCGGGGAAUGAGAAUGUAGGAGCUAAUGAAGAGAUUCGAAAAUUAAGGCAGCAAAUAAUAGAAAUGCAUUGAGCUUGGGCUAAUGGGUUGCCGCCUCCUCCCUUUCCCGCUGAUAAUCUGGAAUAUCUUUCUAGUUUGCCUCCAGUGUCACAUGAACAAUUUCCUAUGUUGGUCGACACGCCACAACAUGCAUCAGGACCUACUCUGGGCAACAAUAUCCAAACACUUUCAAUAUUCAUUUAUUUACUCCUCAACACAAAGCUACCACAUGCUUGGCUCCACCCACUCUUCAUGCUUUUGCAGCCCCAGUCCAGUCUGAAGCUCCUGAUUUUAAUGUCAAUCCAACGGUUGUAAUUCCUCACUUUACAAGCGACCCUGUAUUGAAUAUUUUUAGUGAUCAACAUUAAGCUCCCGAGCCCACAUUUAAGUCGACUGGUCCUUACAACUGCACUCAACCGCCUGAAUUUCCUCCUAACACUGAAAAUAGAUUAAUUUUAAAUAUUAAAAGACGCUCCUUACAUGGUGUUUCUUGUCAUACGCUUGAAGAUUUAUUUAUAAUUUCUACAUUUUAUUACUCAUUACAUGCAUAAAUUCAUAGAAUUUUAAUAGUUCUAAUGGAUCUGUAAAAUUUAACAAGAGACACCAUUAGAAUAUAGAUGUACCUAUUUUGGCCUUUGUUAGCAUCUUAUUUUCGUUUGUGUCAUUUGACUCUUUGUAUAAUUUUCGUUUCAUCAAUAAAAACCAAAAAGUCAUUGAAAAAAAAAAGAAUAUAUAUGAACCUAUAAGCUUAUUUCCACUAAUCUCAACAUGUUGCAUCUUGGUUAAGUUGCCAAUCUCUCGAGGUAAGAAUCCACUAAGAUUGCUCCUCCACAGUGACAAAAGUUGCAGCGAUGAGAUAUUGAAUAUGGAGAUCGGGACAGAGCCAGUAAUUUGAUUAUCCUCCAUGACUAACUCUACCAAAUUAAAAAGAUUUCCAAUUUCUUGUGGAAUUAUCCCUGAAAUGAAUGUAUAAAAAAAUGAAAUUCUGAAGUAAUAAGAUACAAUAGUGCUAGUAUCCAUAAUAUGGAACGUACCAGUGAAAUGGUUAGUUCUGAGAUCCAAUAUCUGCAGGUUACUCUAUCUUCCUUUUUUCCUAUGUAUUGAUCCAUCAAACUCAUUUUCCGAUUAACCCAACAGUUGAAGUUGUGAACAAUUUGAUAAGCUUGUAGGCAUAUGACCGCGAAGCUUGUUUUUGUAGACAUAAAGCCCUUUGAGUAUUGGGAGACCAUUGCAUAAACCAUUGGGAAGAAUUCCUGAUAAGGUAUUGCCACUAAAUGAAAUGAAUUCGAUCCUAGAAAUAUUGAAAAUUGUAAAUGGUAUAGAACCCAUAAUUUGAUUAAAUUCUAUGCCCAACCAGUUCAUGUUGUGAAGAUUGCCGAUCCAUUGUGGAAUGUUUCCUUGAAGUGAAUUAUAGAUAAUUUAACUAGUGUCAGCUAUAGAUUCACAGGGAUUUAUAUCGUUUGAUACGGAGUAUAGAUAUAUAUAUGGAAAAAUCUAUUUAAAUAUCAACGACUAUUAUUAGGUUUGAACCCGUAAUUUUGAUAUUACAAUGAAUUUAAUAUUGAAAAUCAUAGAAGUUGAACCCGUGAUUUUAAAGGAUUUCUCGGAGUAAACCCUGGCCUAGUUUGUUAUUAGUCAUGUGCAUGCCCUGAAGGUCUCUUAAGUUGCCAAUUGAUGUGGGGAUCGAUAGAUCCAAUUAAGUUGUUUUCAUUGAGAUAAUGACAUGUUAAGCUGGUUACUGUAACAAUUACAACGUAUAUGACAAGUAGGAACCAUGUGAGAAUAAAACAUCUUUGAUGCAGUGGUGGCAAUUUGACGGAACUCAUUGGGCGUAUCUUGCUCAUGAUGUUCAAACUAUGAUUAUAACUAACAACUAUUCCAAAACAGUAUAACUAAUUGCAGUUCUCUAAUAUGAAUUAGCAUACCCCCACCCCCCCCCCCACCCCGUCAAGCUGGAAAUUGGUAGACAUCUAGCAAUUCCCCAGCCUUUGGUGAGCAAAUCUGCAAUUUGGGAAUGUCUUUGCAAAUAUUGAGGUUGAAUCAGAUGUUGUUUGAUUUUCUCCCCAACAAACUGGGAAUCUAUGUCGAUAUGUCUUAGUCCUCGUGUGAAAAAUAGGAUAGAGGCUAUCUGUAUAGCAGCCAUUUUAUCACAGUAUAAUCUCACUGGAGUAUGAACUGGUACUCCUAAUUGUUGCAACAGACAAACCCCUAUCGAGGGCAGAGAAUGUGAAUGGAGGAGUUGUGAAGGUGGCAACGACAGCAGUGUAAGUAAACAAAGGAGUUGUGAAGGCGAAGGACAAAGCGAAGAGAUUUGCAAAGCAAGUGCAUUACCGAGGAGUACGAAAGUCCAUUGGGGGAAUACACGCAGCGACAAGAGAUACUAGAAAAAGAUGCAAUUUCUUGUUAGGUACAUUUGACACAGUAGAGGUGGUAACAAUGUCACGACACGAACUAGGGCCUGGCCGUGACGGACAUCCCGAACCCUGAGGGCCCGGAACGUCCCUCUCUAUCUGUGUUGUUUUGAAGACACACGGCAUUGGUGCUUGUUGGAAGCUCCUUGGCAGUGUUGUUUUGAAGCCUCACGACAUUGACGCUUGUUGAUUUCUUCAGUCCCUUGUGGCUGUUUCUCCCAUGUUAGAAUCACAUCUUCUGUCAUCAUCUUUUGAUCUUCAAUGCAUUUAGCAAAACCACCUGGGCAGUGACAAGUAUAUUUGCUGAAAUAUGAACCAAGUAUAGACCAAAAUAGUCUACAAAAAUGUAUCCCAAGUUUGUAACUCUUUGUGCGCAAAUGUGUUGAUGUAUCUUGUCUUAUGUCAUUUGAAUAAGUCUUGAGCAGCUCCACUUGCAAGAUAAAAAUUCUCAUGUACCAAUUUAUCGAUUUUGUUUAUA